AUGCAUUCUAUGGCAACUUUAACGGGGAUUAUGAACUCAAAUUUUGGCUGGAAGCAAUAGUUUGAAUCUGAAUUUGAAUUUCUUAAUGAUUCAUUUGUUUCUUAUAAACGCAUAGCCUUUCCCUUCACAAGACCGUAAUUGAUGUGAAUUUUUUGUGGAUUAUUUGAUGUUUAUAUCAGUUCUUCGGACUUCCGUUCUGAUGACCACCCAUUCACUGCAGAGGAUUCAUUGGGGAGCAAGUGAUGUAAUUCUAUAUUUUUCCAAAUCUUUUUCAAUAAUGAACUAAAAACUCAUUAAAAAAAGAGUUUUUUUUUAUGAAUAUUUUAUAUUAUUUGAUUUAUAUUAUUUAAUUUAUAUCAGGGGCUUUUUUAAUGACAUCCAUUGUCUAUCAUGGACACACUGUCAAACUUUAAUUGUAAAAUUGUGAAUAAGUGUAGAUGAAAAUCUCUGGACCUUAUCAAGCCUUCCAUUGGCUAGUGACAUUCCAGAAGGUUCUGAUUUGUUAAUUACAGGUCCAGAGGAGAAUUAAAGGUAAUCAAUCAAGCUGAAAGAGGAGGAGCCGCUUAAAUUCAAAGCUGUACUUAAUGGACAAAGACGGGCUCUAGUGGGUAUCAUGUUAAUGUUUUUCAGGAUGGGUUUUUUUGCAAUGUGUGUUAUUGCUGGUUGUGCUUGAGGCGUUUGAUCUGAAGAGUGCUUUUGGAAGUCUGAAUCCAGUCAAAGUCCAAGAAGCAUCAAUCAUAUCCAGCUUCCAGAGUACCUGUUUCUUAAGUGCUUGGGAACACUUUGCAGAAAGCUUCUCAGUUUCAGAGUCUUGACUACAGCGUAUUUGCAAAAGAGCCUCUUGGGCUUCAGGAGAAGCAGGCGUUUCAGGGACCAGUGAAGCCUUUGGAUUGGAGGUUUCCCGCUGUUCCAGAAGUGCUGAGCAAGAUGGCGGUGGACUUUCAUUUAAGGAGGAUGCCCUGUUGUUGGUUUGGUCCCAGGCUCAAAGGUGCUUUUUGAGAAUGAACUGCAGGUCUGCGACCGUGUUGAUGGUAAGAGCUGUUAAGUGUUACUAGACUUCUUAAACCCUACUAAAAAUUGGCCCUUGUCUUGGUAUCAAUGGU
rnacentral:lncRNA from 1 species